AUGUCCUGCGUCAUCUCUAGGGUAUCUUCUUAGUCUGAUAUUCCAUGUUUCUAUGAUAUAAAACUUGGAGCACAGAAUGUCAGACCUAGAAGCUGCCUUGAACUGAUCUACACCUCCAA
rnacentral:precursor_RNA from 15 species